GACGAACGCUGGCGGCGUGCUUAACACAUGCAAGUCGAACGGAAAGGCCCUGCUUUUGUGGUGUGCUCGAGUGGCGAACGGGUGAGUAACACGUGAGUAACCUGCCCUUGACUUUGGGAUAACUUCAGGAAACUGGGGCUAAUACCUGAUAGGAGCUCCUGCUGCAUGGUGGAGGUUGGAAAGUUUCGGCGGUUGGGGAUGGACUCGCGGCUUAUCAGCUUGUUGGUGGGGUAGUGGCUUACCAAGUCUUUGACGGGUAGCCGGCCUGAGAGGGUGACCGGCCACAUUGGGACUGAGAGACGGCCCAGACUACUACGGGAGGCAGCAGUGGGGAAUAUUGCACAAUGGGCGGAAGCCUGAUGCAGCAACGCCGCGUGCGGGAUGACGGCCUUCGGGUUGUAAACCGCUUUCGCCUGUGACGAAGCGUGAGUGACGGUAAUGGGUAAAGAAGCACCGGCUAACUACGUG
rnacentral:rRNA from 1 species